UGGCGACCGGCGCACGGGUGAGUAACACGUAUCCAACCUACCGGCUAUUCCGGGAUAGCCUUUCGAAAGAAAGAUUAAUACCGGAUAGUAUAGCGAGAAGGCAUCUUCUUGCUAUUAAAGAAUUUCGAUAACCGAUGGGGAUGCGUUCCAUUAGUUUGUUGGCGGGGUAACGGCCCACCAAGACAUCGAUGGAUAGGGGUUCUGAGAGGAAGGUCCCCCACAUUGGAACUGAGACACGGUCCAAACUCCUACGGGAGGCAGCAGUGAGGAAUAUUGGUCAAUGGACGAGAGUCUGAACCAGCCAAGUAGCGUGAAGGAUGACUGCCCUAUGGGUUGUAAACUUCUUUUAUAUGGGAAUAAAGUGAGCCACGUGUGGCUUUUUGUAUGUACCAUACGAAUAAGGAUCGGCUAACUCCGUGCCAGCAGCCGCGGUAAUACGGAGGAUCCGAGCGUUAUCCGGAUUUAUUGGGUUUAAAGGGAGCGUAGGCGGACUAUUAAGUCAGCUGUGAAAGUUUGCGGCUCAACCGUAAAAUUGCAGUUGAUACUGGUCGUCUUGAGUGCAGUAGAGGUAGGCGGAAUUCGUGGUGUAGCGGUGAAAUGCUUAGAUAUCACGAAGAACUCCGAUUGCGAAGGCAGCUUACUGGACUGUAACUGACGCUGAUGCUCGAAAGUGUGGGUAUCAAACAGGAUUAGAUACCCUGGUAGUCCACACAGUAAACGAUGAAUACUCGCUGUUUGCGAUAUACAGCAAGCGGCCAAGCGAA
rnacentral:rRNA from 1 species